AUUGAACGCUGGCGGCAGGCUUAACACAUGCAAGUCGAGCGAGCGGAGGACUGGUGGAUAAUGUCUUGAAAACUGCCUGAUGUAUGGGGCUCACUACUAGAAACGGUAGCUAAUACCGCAUACAAUCAUAUCUGCCCACAUGGGAUUAUCUAGUAGGUAGGGUAAUUGCUCACCUAGGCGACGAUCCCUAGCUGGCCUGAGAGGAUGACCAGCAAUACUGGAACUGAGACACGGCCCAGACUCCUACGGGAGGCAGCAGUGGGGAAUAUUGCACAAUGGGCGAAAGUCUGAUGCAGCCAUGCCGCGUGUGUGAAGAAGGCUUUCGGGUUGUAAAGCACUUUUGGUGAGGAGGCGGUACUCGAAGAAGAAGCACCGGCUAACUACGUGCCAGCAGCCGCGGUAAUAC
rnacentral:rRNA from 1 species